UACGUAGGGUGCAAGCGUUGUCCGGAAUCAUUGGGCGUAAAGCGCGUGUAGGCGGCUUGGUAAGUCAGCUGUGAAAGCCCAGGGCUCAACCCUGGGAUGCCGGUUGAUACUGCCAAGCUCGAGUCCGGAAGAGGAGUGUGGAAUUCCUGGUGUAGCGGUGAAAUGCGCAGAUAUCAGGAAGAACACCCGUGGCGAAGGCGGCUCUCUGGUACGUGACUGACGCUGAGACGCGAAAGCGUGGGGAGCGAACAGG
rnacentral:rRNA from 1 species